rnacentral:rRNA from 1 species
UACAGAGGGGGCAAGCGUUGUUCGGAAUUACUGGGCGUAAAGGGCGCGUAGGCGGCCUUCUAAGUCGAACGUGAAAUCCCCAGGCUCAACCUGGGAACUGCGUCCGAUACUGGAUGGCUUGAAUUCGGGAGAGGGAUGCAGAAUUCCAGGUGUAGCGGUGAAAUGCGUAGAUAUCUGGAGGAAUACCGGUGGCGAAGGCGGCAUCCUGGACCGACAUUGACGCUGAGGAGCGAAAGCU